GAUGAAGAACGUAGCGAAAUGCGAUAAGUAAUGCGAAUUGCAGAAUUUCCGUGAGUCAUCGAGUCUUUGAACGCACAUUGCGCCCCCUGGUAUUCCGGGGGGCAUGCCUGUCCGAGCGUCAUUGCUGCCCUCAAGCACGGCUUGUGUGUUGGGCCUCCGCCCCCCGGCUCCCGGGGGGCGGGCCCGAAAGGCAGCGGCGGCACCGCGUCCGGUCCUCGAGCGUAUGGGGCUUCGUCACCCGCUCCGUAGGCCCGGCCGGCGCCCGCCGGCGACCCCCCUCAAUCUUUCCAGGUUGACCUCGGAUCAGGUAGGGAUACCCGCUGAACUUAAGCAUAUCAAUAAGCGGAGGA
rnacentral:misc_RNA from 1 species